AAUGAACGCUGGCGGCAUGGAUUAGGCAUGCAAGUCGAACGAGCUACAGCUUGCAGAGAGAGUGGCGAAAGGGUGAGUAACGCGUGAGUAACCUACCUUCAAGUUGGGGAUAACAGUUAGAAAUGACUGCUAAUACCGGAUGUGAUAAUACUAAGGCAUCUUAGAAUUAUUAAAGAUUUAUUGCUUGAAGAUGGGCUCGCGUUCCAUUAGUUAGUUGGUGAGGUAACGGCUCACCAAGACCGCGAUGGAUAGCUGGUCUGAGAGGAUGAUCAGCCACACUGGGACUGAGACACUGCCCAGACUCCUACGGGAGGCUGCAGUCGAGAAUCUUCCGCAAUGCACGAAAGUGUGACGGAGCAAUGCCGCGUGUGGGAUGAAUGCCUUCGGGUUGUAAACCACUGUCACUAGGGACGAAGAUCUGACGGUACCUAGAGAGGAAGCCACGGCUAACUACGUGCCAGCAGCCGCGGUAAUACGUAGGUGGCGAGCGUUAUUCGGAUUUAUUGGGCGUAAAGGGUCCGCCGGUGGCCGAUUAAGUCUGAUGUGAAAGCCUAUGGCUCAACCAUAGAAUUGCAUUGGAAACUGAACGGCUAGAGUAUUGGAGAGGUAAGCGGAAUUUCUGGUGUAGCGGUGGAAUGCGUUGAUAUCAGAAAGAACACCGAAAGCGAAGGCAGCUUACUGGACAAUAACUGACACUCAUGGACGAAAGCGUGGGGAGCAAACAGGAUUAGAUACCCUGGUAGUCCACGCCGUAAACGUUGUCAACUUGUUGUGGGGGGAAUUAGCCCCCCUCCGUGACGCAGCUAACGCGUUAAGUUGACCGCCUGGGGACUACGGCCGCAAGGCUAAAACUCAAAGGAAUUGACGGGGACCCGCACAAGCGGUGGAGCAUGUGGCUUAAUUCGAGGCAACGCGAAGAACCUUACCUGGACUUGACAUAUAUUUGAUCGCCAUUGAAAGAUGGUUUUCCUUCGGGACAGAUAUACAGGUGCUGCAUGGCUGUCGUCAGCUCGUGCUGUGAAGUGUUCGGUUAAGUCCGGCAACGAGCGCAACCCACGUCGUUAGUUACCAUCAAGUAAUGUUGGGGACUCUAACGAGACUGCCUGUGUUAAGCAGGAGGAAGGCGUGGAUGACGUCAAGUCAGUAUGGCCCUUAUGUCCAGGGCUGCACACGUGCUACAAUGGCUACUACAGAGGGAAGCGAAGCCGCGAGGUAGAGCAAAUCCGUAAAAGUAGUCUAAGUUCGGAUUGGAGUCUGCAACUCGACUCCAUGAAGUCGGAAUCGCUAGUAAAGGCGUAUCAGCAUUGACGCCUUGAAUACGUUCCCGGGUCUUGUACACACCGCCCGUCACAUCAUGGAAGUUGAUUGCACCCGAAGUCGUUGACCCAACUCAAUUUGAGAGGGAGGCGCCUAAGGUGUGGUUAGUAACUGGGAUG
rnacentral:rRNA from 1 species